rnacentral:lncRNA from 1 species
UAACAUUCGCGGUGCUGGUCGCAUUCUACGUUGGAAUCUGCAGAUAAGAUUGCCCCGCUUGCCGCAAUGUCUUCCUUUAUUUUGCCACUCCCUGAUUGGCUGCUUAGCGCUCAAAAAGCGCGUCGCCGAACGAAUAAACGUCAUUGUCUUCCUGGC